GACGAACGCUGGCGGCGUGCUUAACACAUGCAAGUCGAACGAAGAGCGAUGGAAGCUUGCUUCUAUCAAUCUUAGUGGCGAACGGGUGAGUAACGCGUAAUCAACCUGCCCUUCAGAGGGGGACAACAGUUGGAAACGACUGCUAAUACCGCAUACGAUCUAAUCUCGGCAUCGAGGAUAGAUGAAAGGUGGCCUCUACAUGUAAGCUAUCACUGAAGGAGGGGAUUGCGUCUGAUUAGCUAGUUGGAGGGGUAACGGCCCACCAAGGCGGUGAUCAGUAGCCGGUCUGAGAGGAUGAACGGCCACAUUGGGACUGAGACACGGCCCAGACCCCUACGGGAGGCAGCAGUGGGGAAUCUUCCGCAAUGGACGAAAGUCUGACGGAGCAACGCCGCGUGAGUGAUGACGGCCUUCGGGUUGUAAAGCUCUGUUAAUCGGGACGAAAGGCCUUCUUGCGAAUAGUGAGAAGGAUUGACG
rnacentral:rRNA from 1 species